GACAGCCAGGAUGUUGGCUUAGAAGCAGCCAUCAUUUAAAGAAAGCGUAAUAGCUCACUGGUCGAGUCGGCCUGCGCGGAAGAUGUAACGGGGCUAAACCAUGCACCGAAGCUGCGGCAGCGACACUAAGUGUUGUUGGGUAGGGGAGCGUUCUGUAAGCCUGCGAAGGUGUGUCGUGAGGCAUGCUGGAGGUAUCAGAAGUGCGAAUGCUGACAUAAGUAACGAUAAUGCGGGUGAAAAACCCGCACGCCGGAAG
rnacentral:rRNA from 1 species